AGUCGAGCGAACAGAUGAGAAGCUUGCUUCUCUGAUGUUAGCGGCGGAUGGGUGAGUAACACGUGGGUAACCUACCUAUAAGACUGGGAUAACUCCGGGAAACCGGGGCUAAUACCGGAUAAUAUUUUGAACCGCAUGGUUCAAUAGUGAAAGACGGUUUCGGCUGUCACUUAUAGAUGGACCCGCGCCGUAUUAGCUAGUUGGUAAGGUAACGGCUUACCAAGGCGACGAUACGUAGCCGACCUGAGAGGGUGAUCGGCCACACUGGAACUGAGACACGGUCCAGACUCCUACGGGAGGCAGCAGUAGGGAAUCUUCCGCAAUGGGCGAAAGCCUGACGGAGCAACGCCGCGUGAGUGAUGAAGGUCUUCGGAUCGUAAAACUCUGUUGUUAGGGAAGAACAAAUUUGUUAGUAACUGAACAAGUCUUGACGGUACCUAACCAGAAAGCCACGGCUAACUACGUGCCAGCAGCCGCGGUAAUACGUAGGUGGCAAGCGUUAUCCGGAAUUAUUGGGCGUAAAGCGCGCGUAGGCGGUUUCUUAAGUCUGAUGUGAAAGCCCACGGCUCAACCGUGGAGGGUCAUUGGAAACUGGGAAACUUGAGUGCAGAAGAGGAGAGUGGAAUUCCAUGUGUAGCGGUGAAAUGCGCAGAGAUAUGGAGGAACACCAGUGGCGAAGGCGGCUCUCUGGUCUGUAACUGACGCUGAUGUGCGAAAGCGUGGGGAUCAAACAGGAUUAGAUACCCUGGUAGUCCACGCCGUAAACGAUGAGUGCUAAGUGUUAGGGGGUUUCCGCCCCUUAGUGCUGCAGCUAACGCAUUAAGCACUCCGCCUGGGGAGUACGACCGCAAGGUUGAAACUCAAAGGAAUUGACGGGGACCCGCACAAGCGGUGGAGCAUGUGGUUUAAUUCGAAGCAACGCGAAGAACCUUACCAAAUCUUGACAUCCUUUGACCGCUCUAGAGAUAGAGUCUUCCCCUUCGGGGGACAAAGUGACAGGUGGUGCAUGGUUGUCGUCAGCUCGUGUCGUGAGAUGUUGGGUUAAGUCCCGCAACGAGCGCAACCCUUAAGCUUAGUUGCCAUCAUUAAGUUGGGCACUCUAGGUUGACUGCCGGUGACAAACCGGAGGAAGGUGGGGAUGACGUCAAAUCAUCAUGCCCCUUAUGAUUUGGGCUACACACGUGCUACAAUGGAUAAUACAAAGGGCAGCGAAUCCGCGAGGCCAAGCAAAUCCCAUAAAAUUAUUCUCAGUUCGGAUUGUAGUCUGCAACUCGACUACAUGAAGCUGGAAUCGCUAGUAAUCGUAGAUCAGCAUGCUACGGUGAAUACGUUCCCGGGUCUUGUACACACCGCCCGUCACACCACGAGAGUUUGUAACACCCGAAGCCGGUGGAGUAA
rnacentral:rRNA from 2 species